rnacentral:rRNA from 1 species
AGCGGCGUACGGGUGAGUAAAACGUGGGUAAUCUACCUCUUAGUGGGGAAUAACCCUGGGAAACCGGGGCUAAUACCGCAUAAGCCUGCAAAGGGAAAGCAGCAAUGCGCUGGGAGAGGAGCCCGCGGCCGAUUAGCUAGUUGGUGGGGUAAUGGCUCACCAAGGCGACGAUCGGUAGCCGGCCUGAGAGGGCACACGGCCACACUGGCACUGAAACACGGGCCAGACUCCUACGGGAGGCAGCAGUGGGGAAUCUUGCACAAUGGGGGAAACCCUGAUGCAGCGACGCCGCGUGAGCGAUGAAGCCCUUCGGGGUGUAAAGCUCUCUCGGCAGGAACGAUAAUGACGGUACCUGAAGAAGAAGCUGCGGCUAACUACGUGCCAGCAGCCGCGGUAAUACGUAGGCAGCGAGCGUUGUUCGGAAUUACUGGGCGUAAAGAGUGUGUAGGCGGUGCUCUAAGUUUGGUGUGAAAUCUCCCGGCUUAACUGGGAGGGUGCGCCGAA